GAUGAACGCUGGCGGCGUGCCUAAUACAUGCAAGUCGAGCGAACGGACGAGAAGCUUGCUUCUCUGAUGUUAGCGGCGGACGGGUGAGUAACACGUGGAUAACCUACCUAUAAGACUGGGAUAACUUCGGGAAACCGGAGCUAAUACCGGAUAAUAUUUUGAACCGCAUGGUUCAAAAGUGAAAGACGGUCUUGCUGUCACUUAUAGAUGGAUCCGCGCUGCAUUAGCUAGUUGGUAAGGUAACGGCUUACCAAGGCAACGAUGCAUAGCCGACCUGAGAGGGUGAUCGGCCACACUGGAACUGAGACACGGUCCAGACUCCUACGGGAGGCAGCAGUAGGGAAUCUUCCGCAAUGGGCGAAAGCCUGACGGAGCAACGCCGCGUGAGUGCUGAAGGUCUUCGGAUCGUAAAACUCUGUUAUUCGGGAAGAACAUAUGUGUAAGUAACUGUGCACAUAUUGACGGUACCUAAUCAGAAAGCCACGGCUAACUACGUG
rnacentral:rRNA from 1 species